rnacentral:rRNA from 1 species
CCUACGGGAGACAGCAGUAGGGAAUCUUUCACAAUGGGCGAAAGCCUGAAGGAGCAACGCCGCGUGCAGGAUGAAGGCCUUCGGGUUGUAAACUGCUUUUAUAAGCGAGAAAUAUGAUGGUAACUUAUGAAUAAGGAUCGGCUAACUACGUGCCAGCAGCCGCGGUCAUACGUAGGAUCCGAGCAUUAUCCGGAGUGACUGGGUGUAAAGAGUGGCGUAGGUGGCAUAAUAAGUAGCUAGUGAAAUCUGGUUGUUCAACCAUUCAGACUAUUAGCUAAACUGUUAAGCUCGAGACCGUUAGGGGUAACUGGAAUGUCUGGUGUAGGAGUGAAAUCCGUAGAUAUUAGAAAGAACACCGAUAGCGUAGGCAGGUUACUGAGACGGUUCUGACGCUAAGGCACGAAAGCGUAGGGAGCAAACGGGAUUAGAUACCCUGGUAGUC